UGGCUGAGCGGUUGAAAGCACCGGUCUUGAAAACCGGCGUGUCGAAAGGCAUCCAGGGUUCGAAUCCCUGUCCCUCCG
rnacentral:tRNA from 1 species